rnacentral:rRNA from 1 species
GACGAACGCUGGCGGCGUGCUUAACACAUGCAAGUCGAACGGAAAGGCCUCUUUCGGGGGGUACUCGAGUGGCGAACGGGUGAGUAACACGUGAGUAACCUGCCCUUGACUUUGGGAUAACUUCAGGAAACUGGGGCUAAUACCGGAUAGGAGCUCCUGCUGCAUGGUGGGGGUUGGAAAGUUUCGGCGGUUGGGGAUGGACUCGCGGCUUAUCAGCUUGUUGGUGGGGUAGUGGCUUACCAAGGCUUUGACGGGUAGCCGGCCUGAGAGGGUGACCGGCCACAUUGGGACUGAGAUACGGCCCAGACUCCUACGGGAGGCAGCAGUGGGGAAUAUUGCACAAUGGGUGGAAGCCUGAUGCAGCAACGCCGUGUGCGGGAUGACGGCCUUCGUGUUGUAAACCGCUUUCGCUCAUGACGAAGCUUUGUGUGACGGUAGUGGGUAAAGAAGCACCGGCUAACUACGUG